AUUGAACGCUGGCGGCAUGCUUUACACAUGCAAGUCGAACGGCAGCACGGGUGCUUGCACCUGGUGGCGAGUGGCGGACGGGUGAGUAAUACAUCGGAACGUAUCCUGAAGUGGGGGAUAACGCAUCGAAAGAUGUGCUAAUACCGCAUAUACUCUGAGGAGGAAAGUAGGGGAUCGAAAGACCUUAUGCUUUUGGAGCGGCCGAUGUCUGAUUAGCUAGUUGGUAAGGUAAUGGCUUACCAAGGCAACGAUCAGUAGUUGGUCUGAGAGGACGACCAGCCACACUGGGACUGAGACACGGCCCAGACUCCUACGGGAGGCAGCAGUGGGGAAUUUUGGACAAUGGGCGCAAGCCUGAUCCAGCAAUGCCGCGUGAGUGAAGAAGGCCU
rnacentral:rRNA from 1 species